rnacentral:sRNA from 1 species
UUUAAAGUUAAUAUAUUAAAAUAUCAAAAAUUCCUAUUUGUUGGGAAAAAAGACACCCCCAUGGCCCAUAGUACGCUUCAAAAUUAAAAACAAGGUCUCCCUCCCUGAAACUCCAAAGUCCGAAACUAAAACCUAUCGACGUCCGUCUCACAACUUUUUACAAAUUUCUCAUCGUCUUCGUUCUCUGCUGCUCCACCAAUGUCGAAGAAUCAUCCCGAUGAGGAUGAAACAAACCUAUCCUCUGCCGUGAACCUCAAUUUAUAGGAUGUAUCUUUGAAAAAACAUUCAGAAUUUUUUGGGCCCUUUUCAAUAGCAUUUUUUUUGACAAAGCGCAAUGUUAAAUACGAGGAUUGGGGCUAACCUUCACCAGUUUGACGAGCUUGUGUGGAUUACGUAAGCGUACCUCGCGGUUUAUGUCGAAGAAUAGUUCCUUAGUCACAUACAUCCCUUAUUUGGCGUUUGCGAGUUUCUUGCAAUAGUAAAUUACCGUCUCAACGGCAGAGCCGGUCUGUCAUGCAAAAAUGCCUUAUGAAAAUAAACAAAUUGUGUCUUUUAUUUGUUUGCAUAAUCACAAAUAAUAAUAAUAU